rnacentral:lncRNA from 1 species
UCUCACUCUACUUAGAAGUCCAGUGCAGCUGGACAUCAAUGAUCUGAUUCUUAGAAUUUCUCAAGGGCCCAGGCUGGCUUCAUCAUUUUUGGGAAAAUGCAGUGCCCCACCUUGCGGCUGGGAUGCCAGUCUCCCUUCCCGCAGGUUCUGCUGCACCCACCCAUAGCCGAUGGCCGGCCUCCGAGGGGCUGCCAUCUCCACACUGGAAUGCACUUGGUACCCAGAUUGGGGUGGGCAUAAGGCCCUGUUUUAGCUUCCCACUGAGUGUGUCGGGGGGUUGACACCUGCUGCCUUGCUCUGCCCUGAGAUGCUGCAAGCCGUAUGCCCAACUGCUGUGGCUUGAAUGUUUUUGUCCCCUUCAAAAUUCUUGUGUUGAAAACUUAAUCCCCAAUGCAACAGUGUGGGAGGUGAGGCCUUUUGGGAGGUGCUUUGGUCACUGGGGCUCUGCCCUCAUGAGUGGAAUCUUGCUUGCCAUUGCAAAAAGGGCUUGUGAGAGUGGGUUCACUCUCUCUUGCCCUUUCGUCUUCUGCCUUCUGCCACAUGUGGAUCAAGUAAGAAGUCCUGCACCAGAUGCCAGCACCUUGGAUCCCGGACUUCCCAGUCUCCAGGACCGUGAGAUAGUCAAUUUCUGUUCUUUAUAAAUGACCCUGUCUCAGGUAUUCUGUUAUGGCAGCACCCAACAGACUAAGACACCAGCCUGCCACAUGUGUCCUCCUGGGCCCCCACCAGGGAUGGAGAGUGACGGUGGAACGUGGUCUCCUCACUUCGUGUGACCCAGCUACUUCCCUGGGUAAAGGGCAGCAUCUGUAGUAGGGUGGGGGCAGGGAGGGGAAAUUGGGCAGGGCCAAGGCACCGGGAGAAGAACAGAUGUCUGAGAAAACAUCCUGGGAGUCAACAGGAGGCAGGAGCACGCAUGCGUGAGGCUCCACAUUCCUGGCAGGCUCCAUUGUCUCGUUACACUUCACUUAGGGAGCACAAGUUCAAAGGUAAAAUUCUGAAGAAUUUCAAGAGAGCAAUUAUAGAGUGUUAAACCCUAACCUUCUGGGUGCUUGUCCUGUGCAACUGCACUGGCCCCGCAUGCCCGUGGUACAGGCCCUGCCUCUUCCCUCCUUCCCCUCCUUAACAUCCUGCCUUCCCUCCUUCCUCUCCUUAACAUCUUGCAGUGGCUCACAUUCUUUUUCUUUUCCUCUUUUUUUUUUUUUUUUUUGCAAAAAAAUCCAACUGCUUUAACCUGGCUUUCAGUUUUAGGCCUCCUAACAUACUGUUCUCACUGCCUGAACAUGUUUACGCCCUCCUCAAAUGUCCCUUGGCCUAAGUCUUAUUCAUCAUUGAGAUCUCGAUUUCAGCACCACUUUCUCCAGGAAACAUUCCGAGACUCUUUUGUUUAAAUGCCUCACUUAUUUGGUCCCACAGCACAAAGAUCAAAUGCAGAAGGAACUGCACGUGGAAAGGCCAGCCACAUACAUCACAAAAAGAGGACUGAAGUCAGCACACAGCUUGAAAGCCGGACUACAGGCCUUUCUUCAAGAAUGGCUGGAGUGACCCUGGGGACUUGCUGCAAGAAGCAAGAGGAUUGGGCAAAGGUCAAGAGGCCAUUUGUCAAACAGCACAAGACAUGUAACAGGAUAUGCACACUACCCUGGCUAUCUCUGCAGACAGGAAGAGAGCUGCCAAGUAGGGCUGGAAAGAGACACUCGGCAGGUAGAUCUUGCCGUAACAAGGAGAAGAAACUCAUGGAUUUCACCUAAGACCAGAGAAGGGAACAUUCCCAAGAGACUUGGAGGUUCCAUCUCUCAAGCAACCUGAAAUUAGCAGGGAUUUCUCCUGCGGCUUUGCCAUGAUGUGGGGAAAAGGGAAGUGGUUUUGACGCAAGGGACAGAGGGAGUGUUGGCGGUGGCAGGGGGAGCAGGGGCAGCAGCUCACUUACGGGUUAAAACCACCCUGGAGAGGCCCAGCUCUCUGAAGUUCGACAUCAGAAUAUACAUUCGAGUAAGGGUGGUCAGUUAUUCAAUUUUUUGAGACUCACUUUCCUUGUCUUUAUACAUGAGGUUUAACAAAAUUGUCAAGAAGGUGACAGAAAACAGCAGAGGAAAAAGCUGCAGUAUAGUGGAUACUCCAUAAAUAUUGGUUCCCUUGGCUAUAUUCGUCCCCUCUUUUUCCCAAGUGUAGAGCAACAUGGAUUAAAAUUUAUUUUGUAUUUCUAGAUCUCCAGCAAAUGUAUUUAGAACUGUUCUAUUAAAUUUUCCUGGAAAAUAAAGCAUCCCUUGCAUUGAGGCUAUCUAGGUAAUCUAUUUAACAGCAUCUAAGUCUAGAAAUUCAGAAACGUCUAUAUGUGCGCCUCUCUCUGUAAUGUCCUGAUUCUUUUUUUUUUUCUCAUCCACUUGCCCAUCAGUGGUUCAGAUAUUCUCUCUAUAUUUGUGUUUGCAAAGUUCUAUUCCUGAAUGGAAUUUUCUCCCAGGAAUUCCCGACCGAGGCCAUCUGCUCUGCAGGCAGAAAGUGAAGCGACCGCAGCCUGAUGCAGCCAGGAAGGCAGAGGCUGAGAGGAGGGAGUGUGGCAUCAGAACAGAGUCCGCCGGGGCUCUGGCUUCCUCCUCCGGGAUCAAGGGAAAUGUGCGAAGCACAGUGCAGAAUCCCGGGCGGCUCAUGCCCACUCACUUGCUGGGGGAACAGAUAAAACACGAGUGAGGGGGAGAUUUUGUGGGCUGACACUCCCCAGAAAUGCUGUGUGCACAUGGGCGUGGUGAUUGAUACUUAGCGCUUUGAAGCAAACACCGUGAGACUACUCAGCAUUGGGAGAAGCUGUCCACGCGGACGCCCAGGAAGCAGCCCGGAGGAUAGGGUGCCCCAGCAGUACUGCAGAAUCCCAACUACUGACGAGAAUGAGUAAAAGAAUGCACAGAUUGGACAUGUAAAUAAACAGGUUAAAUACCCUGGCAGCUCUUGAAAACAAACCCCUUUUUCUGAAUCUGCUCAGAAACCUCCGUUCUCAUGGUCACUCGGCAACAUGCUGCGGAGAAGAAGACUCGGCCUCGGAACAGCCAUGCCCGGGUUCGAUCCCAGUCCUAGCUUGUGGCAGCCGGGUGACUGGGCAUGAUUCCUGGGCUUCAGUCCUAAUCUGUAAAACGUAGGGGCUGAAGGAGGAAGCGGGAUGGAGUGGAGACCAUUAGAAUUAAUGUAUGAGGCCAGGCGCAGUGGCUCACACCUGUAAUCCCAGCACUUUGGGAGGCCAAGACAGGCAGAUCAGGAGGUCAGGAGAUCGAGACCAUCCUGGCUAACAUGGUGAAACCCCAUCUCUACUAAAAAUACAAAAAAUUAUCCAGGCGUGGUGGCACGUGCCUGUAGUCCCAGCUACUCGGGAGGCUGAGGCAGGAGAAUUGUUUGAAUAUGGGGGGCCAAGGUUGCAGUGAGCCAAGAUCGUGCCACUGCACUCCAGCCGGGGCAACAGAGAGAGACUCCAUCUCAAAAUAAUAAUAAUAAUAAUAAUAAUAAUAAUAAUAAUAAUAAUAAUAAAUGUAUAAAAAGUGAAGUCCCUG